rnacentral:lncRNA from 1 species
UCAGUUCCCGCCUCGCGGUGUGUGCCUGCCCCGCUGCGAUGGAGGUCCUAAGAGCAAGGGGGGGAAGAGGGGCUGGCUCUGGUAGAUUGCAAAUGACCUGCUUUUUUUCUGAUCCCGAGCUGCGUUCGGACCCCUGUCGGAUAGUAAAUCCCAGGUACCUGCCGUGGGCAGAUCUGAGCUUUCUUCUUGGACACCCCAUACCCACAGUCCUCCAGGCCACCCUUAAGUACAAUGUUCUCCUACCUAAGAAGGCAUCUGGAUUUUCUCUUUCCUUGGAAAUAGUAAAGAACUACUCUUUGACUGUUUUUGACCUCACAGUGAACCUCAAAUACACUGGAAUUCGCAAUAAAUCCAGUAUGGUGGUUAUAGAUGUAAAAAUGCUAUCAGGAUUUACUCCAACCAUGUCAUCCAUUGAAGAGCUUGAAAACAAGGGCCAAGUGAUGAAGACUGAAGUCAAGAAUGACCAUGUUCUUUUCUACUUGGAAAAUGUUUUUGGUCGAGCAGACAGUUUCACUUUUUCUGCUGAGCAGAGCAACCUUGUGUUCAACAUUCAGCCAGCCCCAGGCAUGGUCUACGAUUAGUACGAAAAAGGUGGAGAAGCAUUUCUUUUAACAAACUGAUUCUUCUGUAUCAAACCUGGAAAAAAAUCAUGAACCAUCUGACAUCGUGAACAGUCUGCAGUGGGCUAUGGUUUCUUGACAAGUCUUAUUUCCUUAUCAUCCCAUUAAAUGUUGUCAUUUUGCAUCUGAG